rnacentral:lncRNA from 1 species
CCGUCACCGGAAAAAACUCGUCAAUUAUACACGCCUUUAUGACGUCAUUCACCAGAUCGAGGGGCUCGCCUGUAUCCCUGCACUAUUUACGUUCAUCAAGCGUCUUAGUGAUCGUCACUGUGAAGGAUAAACUAGAAAUAAUGGUUGUUCUGUAGGUACUUAUUGCCAAUUCCCUAAUGACAGCAGUGCUGGUUGUCAAUUUUGAGAAUUCAAUUUGCCGAAUAAUUCGUACAAUAUAGAAUUAUAGUUUUCCAACCACUCGCUCAACAUUGGAAUGGAAGUGACGACGCCCCUAAACGCACAAAUGACGGUGAUAAAGGCGCGUAUAAUUGACGAGUUUUUUCCGGUGACGGAUGAACUCGAAAGUGGUCUAUUGCC